rnacentral:lncRNA from 1 species
GGUGCAGCUGGGAUUUAAAGUGUUAAAGGUCCUGAAACCUGUGGAUUUAUAGAUCUCUCUCCUGCAGCUCCGCAGGGUUUUACAUGUUCAUCACAUCUGGGUCAGGAGGCCCUGCAUGCCUGCAGCGGCGGGACAGGCGUCUGCAUGUCUGCUGUCAGCACGGACACAUAAAUACCUGGACAUCCAGAUUCUGCUUUCACUGUCAGACUAUCUGCAGGUGGAAGACUGAAGAGGAGGCUGAGAGACGCCAACAUGGUCCCACUGAGGCUGGUCAGCUUUGGCUUGCUUGCUGCCGCUUGGUAUUUCACUCGUGCUGCUGAGGGAGAAGUGAUCUACGCCUGUCUCAAUGAAACCGCUGAGAUCUCAUGUGAUGUUGGCGCUAAGAUAAAGCUGGAUCACAUCCUGUAUAAGGUCGGGGUGGGGACGAGGUGUGGGGAGGGAAAAGCCUUCCCAGACGACGGCCCGGACACCUACUGCUCCUUCCCCUGGGCUGAGAUGGUGGUGGAGGAUCUCUGUGGUAACAAGAGGUCCUGUAAGGUCCCCGUCACUGAGCUGGUGUUUGGUGAAUAUCCCUGUAAGGAGCAGACCAGGUACAUGGAGGUGGCCUACAACUGCGCCACACCACCACCUCCUCCACCUCCACCACCGCCUCCAACCAAACCUGACUGUGAAGAUAAAUCAACCAAUGAAGCCUGAUGCUUUUAAAAUGUGAUUGUUCAUCACCGUGCACAGAACAGUAUGAAGACACAUCACCUCCAUUUAUAACAUCAGUGGGUUUAGACACAGAACUAAAAACCAAAUGUUGUUGAGCAACAUCUGCUUGUUCUUUACUGUUUAACCAACCAGAAACAAUCUGAUAUUUUAGAUCUUAAAAUACAAGUUUCCCGCAGUUUCUGAGAGAAGGCAAAAGUGUUUGAAUAAAUAUAUCUGAUCUUAGUUACUCGAGAAGCAUUUUAAAUGAAUAAAAUCAAUGUUUUUCUCCUAAAUGAUGCAUUUUGUGAAAUAAAUAGUUUUCUUCUGUAUAUUACGCUGCGU